rnacentral:rRNA from 1 species
GGACUACCAGGGUAUCUAAUCCUGUUUGCUCCCCACGCUUUCGCGCCUCAGCGUCAGUAAAGGACCAGGUCGCCGCCUUCGCCACCGGUGUUCUUCCCAAUAUCUACGAAUUUCACCUCUACACUGGGAAUUCCACGACCCUCUUCCCCACUCAAGCCUGAAUGUAUCAAGCGCAGCCCCCAGGUUAAGCCCGGGAAUUUCACGCCUGACUGUUCAAACCGCCUACGCGCCCUUUACGCCCAGUCAUUCCGAGCAACGCUAGCCCCCUUCGUAUUACCGCGGCGGCUGGCAC